GAUAUACACUAGUACAAAAUUGGGCUUAAGUAACACCCAUUGGUAACACAAAAUUUUUUUUGGAUUUUUUGAUUUUUACGUAACACUUUUGUAACAUUGUCGUAUUAAGUAACAUUUUUUGGAACACAAUAAUAUUAUGUAAGACUUUACGAUAGCAUUUUAAUAUUAGGUAUCACUUAGUUGUAACAUUUAAUUUAUACUCAAUCCUUUUUAUUUUUUUCUUUAUUAAAUAUUUUUUUCUUCUAAUCUCAUUGUAGAAAAAAAUGAGUGGUACCCUUUAUUUUUUUUUAUUUUUUUAAUCUUCUCAUUCUAUUCCAUCUCCUCCUCUCAUUCUUGCUCAAAUACCCGUUCUCUCUCUGAAUGAGUUUAGAUUAUACAAUUAAUGGAGUCGCCUUCAUCACUCGUAGCGUCAUCCUCUGAAUCAUCAUCAUCGAUCAAUGCCAUCAUUUGAAUAACAAGCAACAUCAUCAAAUGAAUCGAGAGCGAAGGAUUCACAGCAUACGUGUUUCAAUUGUCACAAAUUCGCCAUCUGGGGUUUCAAUCGUCACAAAAUCACAAAACCAGUAGCCCAGUUGAACUAGUCAUCUCUGAUUUCAUCUAAUUCGCACUUCCAAUCAGGUAUUCUUCCUAAUUUGUGAAAUUAAUUAAGGCUUGUUUCUCAGUGAAAUUAAAGGAAAUUUUCUUAGCACUUCAACAAAUCAGAGAAAAAGCUUUAAAAGCCGGUCAAACAAAGAAAGAGGAGCCGAUUUCUAGGUUUGGUUUGUUUUUCUUCUUCAAUAGUUGAUUUUUUUAACUAUAUCUAUAAUAUCUGGAAUUUUUAUAUUGUUGGACUUCAUUUAUGUUUUAAUCGCAAUUAUCAGCAACAUUAGACUAUGAGUUUUUCUAUCAAGCUGUUGGAUGUCAACAUCAUAGCUUCUUAAUUUAUUGUUCAUGUUAAUUAUAUUAAAUUCUUCCAUCAUGCAAUUUGACUGCAUUUAAAUCUUGCAUGAAAUUAGUCAUAAAGUUUGAUGAGAGUAGUAAAUUGACAUUUGAGUUAAACUCUAUGAUUCUGACAGAGUAUUUUUAGAAUUUCAGGCAAGUUUUUGCAUAGGCAAUAACAAAGAGCUCAAAGGAGGUAUCAACCAAUACCAAAUUUAAAGGUUUAUAUAAUUGUCAAUCCACUAUACUCUUUACCCUUAUAUGCUUUAUAAGGCAAAUAAGUAGUUGUGAAAAUUACUACUGAUUUGAACCUUGAUUGUGUAAUGUGUGUAAAUUGGCCAUUUAAAGAGGUAUAUAAUUGGAAUGGGAGUUUUAUAUCUACGCUUGGCGGUUUGGGUGCUGGUAGUUGCUACUAUAUAAGUGACAAUUAUUUCUGAAAUUUUAUUUUUACUCAUUGCUUGUAUGUUGCUGCUUGUUAGCAACUUAGCAUAUCAAGAUUACUUGAAACAUUGGUUGUAUAGUAUAAGUCUAAACUCUAAUUACGACAAGUAUAUAAACCAUUGAAUUCUGGUUGAAAGGUACAUAGUACCUAUUCCUUUAGUUGAUUAAAUUGCAUGAUGGUGUGGAUCAGAUUCUCAUUAACCCCUUGAUAUUGUCUAAAAAGCUUACGAAAUUCCUACUUAUUUUAACUACUGCAGUAAUUCAAGAUAGACUUAUGAGUAAAAUAGUAUAUCUAAUUAAGAUCAUACUAAUAUCUACUAUUUUUUUAAAAAAAUCUCACCUUAAUUUAAUUUCUUAUGUUAUUUAGUAGAAUUUAGAGUAGUUUGCAUAAGCACAUGAGUUUGCUUAAGCACAUGAAUUUGCAUAAGUGGAGUAAGGAAAAGUGGGAGGAGGAAAUGAAUAAUGUGGUGUUGUUUGAUAAUGAUACUAGCUGAGUUGUUGCUAAUGAAGUAACCAUUCUGAGUGUUUCUGGUACGCUUUCUUUCAAUUUUCAUAUUCCCUCUUUUGAAUUUUGAGUUUAAAUUUAAGAUAUUUAUUAGUGAUUAUUGAUUUAAUUUGGGAAUUUUGAUCGAUCAGAUUAUUUAGCUUAGGAUAUAAUAGGAUUUUGAAAUGUAUAAUAGAAAAAUAUACAUGGGUUUGUUAAUGAGUGAAAAGUAUAUGCUAACAUGAAUAAUUCUGUAAUUAUAUAGUUAUUUUUAGAUGGGCGUGAAUGGAAAAGGAACGAUUAUGGAAAACUUCUAUUCUAAAUUUGUUUGACAGUACACCAGAUUUUAUGUUCAAAUAUUUUUCUAGCAUAUAACUAUUCAAAAUUUUGUAUUCAGGAUUAAUAUGUUAGUUAAGGUCUCAAUUACAUAGCUCAUAAAUUUUUGUAUAUGUUUCUCGACCUUGAUCAUGUGCAGAUGAAGCUCUAAUGGCUAUCACAUUGUAUGUAGACAUUCAUUACCCCGUAGCGGGAUAAACCAGUUUGUUCAUGAUUAGCAAUCGAUUAGCUAUUAGGGGCUACACGAAUCUAUUUUUUUCACAUUAGCGUAUGGGUUCCUGAAGUCAAAAGUUUUAUGGGCUUUCCUAGUCUGGCUUGGUUUCAAUUGUUUUUGAACUGGUGGCAAUGCUUAGAGAAGCCUCCCAUUAUCGAGAUAUUCUUCCAAGAAUAUACUAAAGUAUAUUCCCUUGAUUAUUCUGCUCCACUCACCUCUAUCUCUAUCAAUUUCUCUCUUAAAUGAUUAUUUGAGCUGAGCUCUCUAAUAAUAAUGGUGAUCAAGAACAUCGGCAGCAGGGCUCGUAAAAGACUGGCAUAAAGUAUUAUCUUGAUUAAUUAUGCUGGUCACGUGGUUCUUGAACCUGAGUCUCCUCCUUUUGGACCAGUUUCUGAGCUAUCCAUUGAUCUAUUAAGAAAUUAUAAUCAUGCUAAGGUAUAACUUAAUUUCCUUUUUUGUUGGCAGGACAUAACAACCCUAUAUACAGUACUCUUUAUCCAAUCUACUAACAAAACUUUUGAAGCUAUAAAGGUAAUGUUUUUCAUUCUUAUUUGCGGGCUGUCAUUCUUAUCUUUAACUAAGAUUAUAGUGAUCUUAUAAAGUCUUAUACUGUGGAUAAUUGUAGGUAUUUAGAUCUGAGAUUGUAGUGAAUAAUUAAUUAACUUUCUGUUUAAGUGUGCUUAGCAUCUCCAUUUUAUCUGACGAACCUUGUACUGAUGCACUUGUGUCUGCAUUCCAGAGGAUGUGACACCCAUCUCAAACAACCAGUACUUGCAGAAAGGGAGGAACAAACAGAGGAAGGAGAAGGUUGUGAAUAAUGUGUUUUAACACUACUUAUGUUGUGCCGUAUUGAUACUUAGCCUUAAGCAUUGUAUAUAUAUUUUUUUAUUUUUUGUGAAAUUGUAAUAUUACAAGCAUUUAUUAAUAAAAAUAUCUAAGUUUUUAUA